UGUAUAAGAUUUUAGUCUCCCUACUGCUCUGCUCAAUGCCUUAUUGAUCAGAAAGUUUAUGAGAUAAAUGAAUUCUCAAUUGGAUUAGCUCCCCCCACCCCCAGUCCUUUUCUGCAGCUUUGCUACUGAGUUUGUAAUACAGAGACAGGAGCUGAGUGAAGAGGAGGGCUUAGAGGAAGGAACAGAUAAACAUACACAUGGAAGGUCACCCAGCAGCUGACCAUAUCUAGCCCCUGUGUUUCCUUAAACUCUCGUGAAGAAUGUCCUUCACUUCCCUAAAUAGCACAAUUUUCAGUGAAGUGAAGGUAACGGGAAUUAGAAGCUGUCAUCUCAGAAAGAGACAUGCUACUGUAUUUUCUGCAUUAGUCUGGAGGGCUGCAACAUAGGACAAAGAGAAAUAACCUGCCAUCAUCCACUUCUGGUCUAUCCAGCCAAUGUGCACCGCCACAAUCUUCAGCUGUAAACUCAAAUGCAGGGACUUCAGAGGUGGAUGCCAUUGGCCAAGAAGGUGAAUUCUGAAAAUCCAGUUGGCUGGACCUUCGGUAACCAAUUGAAGCCAAAGGCAAUUGUAGGCUACAUGGAUCUAAAAACUUUCUCCCACCGUUUGCUCCAGUCUGUCCUCGAUUCCAAAAUUCUCCCUGCUGGCUGUCAACUGUAGAAUUAGAUGAUGCUUGAUGGCUAAACCACCUCCAUCUGAUUUUCAAAAUCUGCUUCACAUCAAACUCUUUACGAGAACCAGACAUCCUCAGAGAAACCAAGUGAUCGUCUAGGCAACGGGCAAAAAGCACUGCACACAGAUUUGUGCAUCCAACCAAGACAAGAGAAGUAUAUGCCCUGCUGUACACAAUAAACAGAUUGAAAGGAAAUAAAUCACGUUCACAUAUAUAUCUACAUUAACUUUUAUACCAAUAUAGCAGAUUAUAAAGAACAAAGGAGAAUGAAUAGCGAUGAAACACGGUGGAACAUUCCGUUCAAUCAGAGCAAACUCUCAUCCACC